CAGAGUUUCCUUGGUACUCUGUUUUCCUACAUCAUUUUGGGAUUCUGGAAAGUAAGAUUUUGUCUUUGCUUCUGGAGUGAUUUCUGUAUGGCUUCCAUUUGCUUCAAAUUUGCCAGCUUCUCCUUUGAGAUAUGAGCCAUACCUGUCAUCCAGUCGAUCUAGUAACCCACCAGUUACUCUUCGAGCUUGAGCGCAGGACUCUAGGUUUCCACUUGAUGUCUCAUUCUGCCAACCUGUAAUUGAAGACAUUUCCAGUUCUGCUUGCUGAACACGCUUAAGAAUAGCCUGUACUUUUUCUUCUGUCAUCUCCUCAGACUCUACUCCUUCUUCAAGUUGAAUGUCCUCAAAUAGAGAUUUGAGUUUCUCUUCCAUCAUCUCCUCAUCAGGACCAGAUUUUCCUUUCUCCUGCUGCUCAGAGCUUACUCCUAGUUUUCUAGGCUCUGCUGGUUUAACAUCUUUUGGGGACCCAGCCAAAUUUCCAAGGUAUUGAGGAUACUCACUCAGACAUACAUUCUCCAACUGGCUCUCAUCUACAUCCACUGCUUCAGGCAUUUCUGUUAAAGGCACUGAGUCUUCCAGUUUGCUGUCUUCUAAGGAAGCGUCUUCUGCAGUUACGACUGGAGGUCCAUCUGCGGAAUGCUCUAUGUUCCCCUGGGAAGGCACUAGCCCAUCACUCAGUCUACUAGGGGUUCUAAGGGGAGAUUCUAUGCUAGAGAUAUCACUAAAAUAAUCAUCUUGCUGGAAAGGGGUAGGUGGUGUGUAGUGCAACCCUGUGGGGGUUUCCAGUUCCACUUGAAGGGAAGGAUAACCUAUGGAAGACAGUACAUUUGGACUGACUGGAAUGAAUUAGAAUACAUCAAACAAAAACACAUGGAAUGACUAAAAUUAUAUCAGGCAUGAAAAAUGUAUGAUGAAUUACAGAUUAAUGUCAAUAAAUUUAUCGGUUUAGUUCAAUUAAAUGUAACACAAUGAAAUAAAAAGCCUAGUGCAAACUCCAAUAAAAUAGAAUACUAAUUAAGAUAUCAAUUGUUUCUGUUUUGGAAAUUAUGAUACAAUAAGUAAAUAUGCACACUAAUCCAAAGUAUGCAGACUAAAUAUAUAAAGUUUAUAUAUUUAAGUUUAUAUAAAGACCAAUAUAAAGUUAGUUGUCAUUACAUGAGAUACUUAUUAUCUUUCUAUAUUUAGCAUGCGAAGUUCAUACUGUGGUGGACUGAAUACAGCAAGCCACAAGAAACCAAUUUUUAUCAUUAAUUACCUACAACUUUUAUAUUAAUUACCUACAACUUAUUUUAAGAACUGUACAUAUGAGCAAAGCAACCUAGUUCUUCUUUCACAUGAAAUUAUAGCACAGAAAAACGGAUUUAAUCUUUGGAAAGAAAUGAUUGUUUGUUAGAUUUUAGAGCAGUGGCACUGGGAAAAAAAUUUUAAACGAUGUUAAGAAAAGGAUUGAAAAAACAGACCAAGUUUAAAAGACUCCAUGUAGUUUUAGGGUGUUGUACAAAAACAGAUAUGACCAAGAUGAAAGGGUUGUGGAGUACAUGAAGGU
ensembl:lncRNA novel transcript, antisense to ANK3